UCUGACAAGACUGCCAUCGUAAGAUGUGAGGAAGGUGGGGAUGACGUCAAAUCAGCACGGCCCUUACGUCCGGGGCUACACACGUGUUACAAUGGGGGGUACAGAGGGCCGCUACCACGCGAGUGGAUGCCAAUCCCAAAAACCUCUCUCAGUUCGGACUGGAGUCUGCAACCCGACUCCACGAAGCUGGAUUCGCUAGUAAUCGCGCAUCAGCCACGGCGCGGUGAAUACGUUCCCGGGCCUUGUACACACCGCCCGUCAAGCCAUGGGAGCCGGGGGUACCUGAAGUGCGUAACCGCGAGGAGCGCCCUAGGGUAAAACUGGUGACUGGGGCUAAGUCGUAACAAGGUAGCCGUACCGGAAGGUGCGGCUGGAACACCUCCUUU
rnacentral:rRNA from 1 species